CGGGCAGCCGCGGGCGGGAAGCCGCCGGCCCCGCGGCGCGGCGGGGUUUCCCGCGCUGCCUUUACCGGAAGAGGGGCAGGGUGCCUGUCCAGCCAGCGCAGACUCCUGCAUCUCCCAGUGGGCAUCAGGAUGUGGAAGGCAAGAAACCACCCAGAAACAAACACAGGAAUACUUCCCAGUGUUUGAGCAAGAGAGUUUGGGUGUCCACUGGGCAUCUCUCCAUGACUCCAAAGGGAUCAUGCCAUUAGAAUAGCACCUAGACUCCGAACAGUGGCCAACAUUGGGCUUAGACUAUGCCACAGGCAUUAAUUUGCUGUAUAAUAGAGUGAAAACCUGCCGUAAAGAACUCUCCUGGAGCAGAGCCAUGAUGCUACAUAAAUGAUUCUUGGCAAGCAGCACCUGCCACAUACACAGUGGCUUCCCUGUUGUAAAAUCUAUAUGCCUAAUGCAAAAGUUCUUAAUUUUCAGUGGACAAAAGCCAUGAUACUGUUUUCAUAGUCCAGUGAACAUAUCUCUAAAGAGAUUAUUUUGGAUGUUACACACAGGCACGUUGCUAAAAUAAGACUGGAUUCAAACUAAUGGCAAGAAUACACGACUAAACAUCCAAAACUUGUUGCAUGUGAAUAUUCUCAAGUUUGUUUAGAAUGCAUCCGUCCUGGUAUUACUGCUGCCCCCAAACUUGUUGGUUAGAAUAUUUUCAAUGAUAUCACAUAAAAGGAAGGUAAACACAGCCAAAACAAGCCUUUAAUGUGAUCAAAUAUUAAUGGAAAAUUUCUGUCAUGUUAAUGAAAACCCUUUUAUUCUGUUCUGAGAGGAUUUUCCAGAUUGACGCGUAUUAUUUCCACCAAGUCAUUUUGUGUCCGCCUGUAAUACAGCAGUAUGGAAGAAGCAGAAGAAAACACAUGUUUAUAUGCACUUUUGAUGUGACUUGGCCAGAUCUCCAAGAAGCUCCUGUUCAUCCACUGUAGGCCACUGCUACGUGAAUGACUCAGGAGGGUGAUAUGAGAUGCUGAACAGGAAGACCUUAAACAUUUCCAGCCAGGCACUCCUUAUGAAGACACUUCCUUUUCCUGUCAUGGAUGUGAGCUACAAAUUCAGGGCCUCAGGAAGCAGCUUUGCUGAUUCCCAGCAAAUCCAUGUCUGUUUGGAGCAAGAGUGAUGGUGGAAACCACAAGGAAGGAGAAGAAGUUGUCCUUUUUCUCCACUUGAGCACACCAUCACAAAUGGAGAAAUAGAGCCACUCUAGCUUGUCUAACAACUGACACCAGUGUCUGCACAAUUUCUUCUGUGUCUCAAAAUGCAGUGGGAAAGUCAAGACUUACCUGGGCUAAACAUGCCCUCCAGAGCUCAGACAAGCAGAGCCUGAAGAAUAGAAAGAAAGCAAAGCUUACACAGGCAAACAUUUUUACCAGUAGCCUGAGCGAUGCAAAGAGAAUGCACGGAGACAGUGAAGAGCAGGGAAAAGGAUAUUCCUCAAAGGCGGAGUGAGAGGAAACAGUGGGGGACCCCACUACCCUGCCAGCACACACACAACUGGGACCAGCUGGAGCAGCUUUUCAGCCUACACAGACCAGUAUGGAAAGAUGGCUAAGACGACUCUCUGAGUAUGCUGCAUAUGCCCUGCAUGCAGAAACAGGGUAUUUCAUUGUAUGAGGUCACUGGGCAUUUAUUUUCAGUGCUUUGUUUUCUGCCACAUAACCUAAACCAGCUGUGAUCUCACUAUUCACUGUGCUGGGCUGGCACUGAGGGGACAAAAGACUGGCAAGACAGUCAGUGGGCAUCACCACUCUGUGUGCCAGUACUGGGUGCAGUCAUAGACCGACAGCAGGGAUUUAGGCUUCUAACAGAAUAUCAUUGCAUUUCUGCUUCAGCGAGUUCCUCGUGAAGGGUAAGGUCUUCAAGAUUCACCCAUCAAGGUACCACAGUCUUUAUCUCUUAGAUGUACAGCUGUGCAAGACUGAGGAGCACUAUUAGAAAAUUAUGGAGAAAUGUUAUAUAUCUUCACCUUUCCUUUUUAACCUAAACAAUGGUUCUCUUCAUGCACACAAAAAGUAUCCAUAUAUGUUUAAAGAACAAAAAGGAACUCAGAAAAUUAUGUGCAAAAGCAAAGAAAAUAGAAGAACAAUGCUGGAACAAUAAACAACAUUUUCACAGAUUACCAAUGGCAAAUAGCCAACUUACAUUUACAGUAUCUGUGUGGAAAGAGGUGGAACAGUAGAAAAGGCAGAAUAAAUAAAUAACAGAUCAUUGCAAAGGAAUGAAAACCACCUUUCUUUGUUCAAGCAGCUUGCCAAGGCCAGUCCCAUAUUUUGUAUCCUGGAAGACAUGCUCAGCUGUUUAAAGCAGCAGUUUUUCCUGAGAAAAAGUCUGAAACAAUUAUGUUUUGGUCAUUAGCCAAAUCUUCUGGCUGGAUGCUUCAGUCAGAGAAAGAGCAGAGUCCUUCAUGCUACAGGUCAUGAUGCCAUUGUAAGAUGCUAUUGUGUAUGGGGUGGCACAACAUGCUUAUGACAUCUGUGGCCUGAAAGCUGAAGGCCUGUUUCAGAAGAACAGGUUAUUUCCUAUGUGCUCUCCCAAUAGCAGCAUUAAGAAGAGAUUUUUGUGGUUAUGAAAAUUUAAUUUGUAUCCUGCAGAAUCUUGCACCUACUUCUGUAGUAAGUUCCACAGAAAUCUGUUUAGCUUUAUAUUGUGAUGUAUUGUUCAAAGAAAGGGUAUGGUAUGUUCUUUCCCUUGACCUUGAUAUCUUCAGUAGAACAGAGAAUAGAUACUUCAUAAAAAAUUUGCUUCUCAUGAAAUUGAACUAAUAAAUCAAUUAUUUGUAAAUGCACACCACAAUCUCCUUGCAAUGAGUAAUCUAGCUGUCAUAUAUUUUGCAGAACCCACCUAUCUCAUUUGCCAUUUGCUCAAGUGCACUGAAAAGGAGUGUGACCAUACUUUUUAAUAAGAAUUAAUGGUAAUAUGUUGUCUUUAUAUUCUGAUACUAUUUCCUGUAGUGUACAUAUUCUGUACUAGUAAAUGGUGCAGAAAGAAAAACAAUCUGCAUUUCUUAUAAGACACAUUUCCUUUUUCUGGCCCUUUGGGGAAUACAGGACGGUAGUUCUCUCACCCAAGAGUAGCUGCCUCAGUACUCCUGAAGAACUUUUAAAGGCAGUUCAAGAAAGAUGGGACUGGCCCUUUAAUUUGUUUCAUUCAUUGUAGUAGAUUUGCUUUUCUAAUAAAUACCACAGUUUUCCUAGUGUUAA